rnacentral:rRNA from 1 species
AACGAACGCUGGCGGCAGGCCUAACACAUGCAAGUCGAACGCCCUAGCAAUAGGGAGUGGCAGACGGGUGAGUAACACGUGGGAACCUUCCCUAUAGUACGGAAUAUACCAGGGAAACUUGGAGCAAUACCGUAUACGCCCGAGAGGGGAAAGAUUUAUCGCUAUAGGAUGGGCCCGCGUAGGAUUAGCUAGUUGGUGAGGUAAUGGCUCACCAAGGCGACGAUCCUUAGCUGGUUUGAGAGAACGACCAGCCACACUGGGACUGAGACACUGUCCGGACACCUACGGGUGGCUGCAGCAACGAAUAUUCCGCAAUGGGCGCAAGCCUGACGGAGCGACGCCGCGUGGAGGAUGAAGUCC